UAGUUUGACUGUCCAUCUUUGAUUAGGGAUUAGAUUAUUGAUGGAUUUGACUGAUCCUCGAAAUUCAUAAGAACCAAUCAGUUUAUGGUCAGGUGGGAUUCAAUUUGCCUCAACGCAAUUGCCUCAUCUGGAUCACAUAUAGGCUUUUUGCACUUUUCAUAUGUGACUUUGUUUCUGAGUUAGGCAGUUAAACAAAAUGCAGGCUCUAAAUUUAAAUGACCGCUCAAAGACAUGAACCUUACUUCAUGUAGAAACUUGCUCAAGAUUGAAGGACCGGUGCUCGAUAAUGCGUUGGUUAUCACCCUGGCUUCAACUCUAAGUACACUGCCUUUGAACACGUCAUCCAUGGAUACUGUUAUUGGUGUCUCCAAAGUACGCGACUUUCCUACUGCUCCACUACUUGCUGAAAUGUUUAGAAUUCUGAAGCCAAGAUGGAAGAAUUCUGAUUCAUUUGACCGAACUUUCUGGUGAUCGACCUUCCGAAAAUAUUCUUUCUUCUUUGCAGCGGAAGAUACUUGUAGCGGGAUUCUUGGAAACAGAAGCUGGCCAGAAGCAACCUGAUGCUUUUUCAGGAGUUCAGUCUACACAAGUUUACACUCCGAGGAUUGCGCCUUAUGCGAGGAAAUUGAUGUGGUUCGUGAGCAAUGGGCUAAGUUUUUUACCAGCAAGUAUUUAUUAUUGGCUUUAGCGCGCUUGAUCGAGUUGGUUUAGUUGUUAUAGAAUAAUCUUUUAUAUUAAAAUGUAUGUAUAUGUUGAAAUUGAAACAUAUAUUUAAACGUAAUACGUGCACUUUGGUUUUGGGAUAUAUAGUAUACAAAACACUAGUUAU